AAUGUAUACUUUUUAGUAAAAGUAUUUUUAGUAUAAACAUGUCCUAUCCAAUGUUUGGGACAUACUUAUACUAAAAAGUGAUUUUUAUUAUUUAUCUGAAAUUCAA
rnacentral:miRNA from 1 species